UAGACUGCCCUACUACACAAAGUAUCACCAGAAACGUCUACAAUUCAGACACAGUGCUGUUCACAGCUUAUUGACUCUGUUGAAUAUGGUGUGGAGCUGAUGCAGUCUGAAACGUUGAUCCCGGAUCCAUGGAUACAUUGUGGCUGCCACAGAGCAGAGUUGUUAAGAUCUCUGUCAAAAAGUGAGACAUGGAGGAGGAUGCAAGCGCAGAUGGAGCAGUCUUUAGUAAACGCAGUGUCAAACCAUGAAAAACAUCAACAAAAAUCCAAUUAAGAAGCAGAGGUUGGAUGAUCAGAAAACAGACAUAAACAAGCACAGGCAAAAACAUGGGAGUCAGGGAUCAAAAACAGAGGUUGUAAACAUGAGAUCUAAACAUCUAAAAACUGGUAAUUAAACAGGGAUAUGGGAUUAAGUGGAAGUGUUUUCCCAAAGCAGCAACAGAAAUUAGAUUGAUUACACACUGUAACUGACCAGAAGCUCCUUUUGUGUUUAAAUUUGAUAGCAUUUGUAAAGUGCUUUUGAAGUUCACAAAUAUUUCAGACACACUUCCUGUUCAGCUCUUUCUCACACAGAUAGAAGGGGAAAUGGAAAUGGGAAAUGGGUGUAGCAUCACUUAAGACACAGAUAAAGACAACACAUUCCCAGAGCUGGACAGAGACAGUAACAGUGUGUAACAGAACAGGCUUUAAUAUCUUUUUGAAGCAAAGUUGGUGUAGAGAUCUGUGAGAGUGAACUCAGGAUGAAGAUCCUCCUCAUCACCUUCUGUCUGAUCUCAGGUAAAGAAAUGCACUUCAAAAUAAUCCUCACUAUCAUCAGCAGUGUUACAUGAAGGAAGGUUUUGCUCCGAUGGGUUUUUGGUGUUUUGUUAGAUGGAGGAGCCUCAAAGGAAGUAACAGGAUAUUCAGGAGGAGGAAUUCUUAUCAAGUGCAAGUAUGAUACAGCAUACAAAGAUAAACAAAAAUAUUUCUGUAAGGGUUCAUGGCCAGGCUGUUCUGUACAAAUAAAGACAGGAGAUAAAAACCAGUGGGUAAAUUCAGGAAGAUUCUCACUGUUUGAUGGCACCAAAUCAUCAGAAUUCUGGGUGAUGUUCAGAGAGCUCACUGUAAAGGACACUGGGACGUAUCAGUGUGGAGUUGAUAAAACUUUAGUGAAAGACAAUUACACACCGGUAGAACUGAAGGUAAAGGAAGGGUCCUUGGUCUCUAGAGAAGUGACUGCAUAUGCAGGGGGAAGAAUUAACAUCAAAUGCAGAUAUGAGGAUGAAUAUAAA